AGUGAACGCUGGCGGUAGGCCUAACACAUGCAAGUCGAACGGCAGCACAGUAAGAGCUUGCUCUUACGGGUGGCGAGUGGCGGACGGGUGAGGAAUACAUCGGAAUCUACUUUUUCGUGGGGGAUAACGUAGGGAAACUUACGCUAAUACCGCAUACGACCUACGGGUGAAAGCAGGGGAUCUUCGGACCUUGCGCGAUUGAAUGAGCCGAUGUCGGAUUAGCUAGUUGGCGGGGUAAAGGCCCACCAAGGCGACGAUCCGUAGCUGGUCUGAGAGGAUGAUCAGCCACACUGGAACUGGGCCACGGUCCAGACUCCUACGGGAGGCAGCAGUGGGGAAUAUUGGACAAUGGGCGCAAGCCUGAUCCAGCCAUACCGCGUGGGUGAAGAAGGCCUUCGGGUUGUAAAGCCCUUUUGUUGGGAAAGAAAAGCGGCAGGUUAAUACCCCGCUGUUCUGACGGUACCCAAAGAAUAAGCACCGGCUAACUUCGUG
rnacentral:rRNA from 1 species